rnacentral:rRNA from 1 species
UACGAAGAACCCAAGCGUUAUCCGGAUUUAUUGGGUUUAAAGGGUGCGUAGGCGGGUUAUUAAGUCAGUGGUGAAAGCCUGCAGCUUAACUGCAGAACUGCCAUUGAUACUGAUGAUCUUGAGUAUGAUUGAGGUGGGCGGAAUGUGUCAUGUAGCGGUGAAAUGCUUAGAUAUGACACAGAACACCGAUUGCGAAGGCAGCUCACUAAGCCAUAACUGACGCUGAUGCACGAAAGCGUGGGGAGCAAACAGG